CACGUAGUUAGCCGGCGCUUCUUCUGCGGGUACCGUCACCCGAAAGCUUCUUCCCUACUGAAAGAGGUUUACAACCCGAAGGCCGUCAUCCCUCACGCGGCGUCGCUGCAUCAGGCUUUCGCCCAUUGUGCAAUAUUCCCCACUGCUGCCUCCCGUAGGAGUCUGGGCCGUGUCUCAGUCCCAGUGUGGCCGGUCACCCUCUCAGGCCGGCUACCCGUCAUCGCCUUGGUAGGCCUUCACCCCACCAACAAGCUGAUAGGCCGCGAGCCCAUCCCAGACCAGAAACCCUUUCAACAACCCGACAUGCAUCAGGAAGUGAUAUCCAGUAUUAGCCCCGGUUUCCCGGAGUUAUCCCAGAGUCUGGGGCAGGUUACUCACGUGUUACUCACCCGUUCGCCACUAAUCAAGGAUGCAAGCACCCCAUCAUCGUUCGACUUGCAUGUGUAAAGCACGCCGCCAGCGUUCGUCCUGAGCCAGGAUCAAACUCU
rnacentral:rRNA from 1 species